rnacentral:lncRNA from 1 species
CGCCCUCUAGCCUUAAGUUUUCCUGUAUCCAAUUUCUUUCCUCCCUUCCUCCCUCCCUUCCUUUUCUCCUCUCUUCCCCUGCCCUCCUUCCUCCCUUCCUUUUUUCCUUCCUUCCUUCCUUCCUCCCUCCCUCCCUUCCUUCCUUCCUUUUUUAAUCUCUUCUCCUUUUCUUCCUUUCUUUUCCAGACAAGCUCCCUAGCCUGGGCUGGCCUUCAAUGCCUCAGUCUUCUGAGUGCUGGGAUUACUGACGUGCAACACCACGCCUGGCUGUAUCAGUAUCAUUGGUUCGUUUGUUCUUUGGUUUAAAUGCAGCCCAAAGCCUUCAGUACUGGAUCUGCCUGCAUAGGUCCCCCAGGGCAGGGCUAUGCCCCUCUGGAACCCCUGAGCUCAGUUCUGUGUUGCCCCCACCUCUAGGCCAGGGUGCUGGCCCCUCUCACACCCUCCAGGGCUCUCCGAGGAGAGACCACGGAUUUCAGAUCGCUUCCCCGUGAGGCCUCGCAGCAAUAAUCCAAAUGGUCAUUUUUACGUCAUGUUCUCUUCUCGACCUCUAGAGGGCGCCACGACCCCAAACCGGACCAGGGCUGUCCACUGGAGGCCAGUGCGGUGGACUAAGUGGCCUCAGCUUCUUCAUCUGGAAAGUGGGGACGUUAUGGAUUUCCAUACAAUGAUGAAGAUAAAACAUCGCAUGCCCCCGCACCAGCAAAAGCCAAAGUCCUCAUUGUGCCCCAGAAGGCUCCAGCCACUCCAGCUUCUGCCAAUCACCUUGCAACCUCAGGCCCUUUGCACUGCCUGGAUCACUUCUGCUCCCAACUCCUCCCCCACUCCAACUCUGCAUGCCUUCUCUAAAAUCCCCCUUUCCUACCCCACAAGCCUCAUCCCCCUUCCCUGUUUCAUUUAUCUCUAAAAUUUUCACAACAUGCUAACAAAAAAUGAAACUGUUUUGAUUUUGUUUUUAUGGCUCCGGAGAUCAAACCCAGGGUCUCAUGCAUGCUAGGCAAGCACUCUACCACUGAGCCACACCCCCAGACUCUUGUGUGUGUGUUCCUGUGCUGGGUUUAGAACCCAGGGCCUUAUGAAUGGUAGGCAAACACUCUACCACUGAGCUACAUCCCAGCCCCUUCCCUUCCGUUUUGCUGUGUAGCCCAGACUGGUCUUCAAGCCACGAUUCUCCUUCCUCUGCUUCCUGAGAACUGGGAUUACAGGUUUGAAGUCCCACGUCCAGCCUUGACCCGUUUCUCGGGUCUCCAUCACUAGAACAUUAGCUCCUUCAGGACAGAGGUCUUUGUUUCUUUCUUUCUUUUGAUAUUUUUGGCAGCACUGGUGUUUGAACUCAGGGUCUCGUCUUAGCUGGUGAGGCUUGAGCCACUCCACCAGCCUUUCUUUUGUGAUGGGUUUUUUCGACAUAGGGUCUCAUGAACUAUUUGCUCAGGGCUGUCUUCUAACCAUAAUCCUCCUGAUCUCUGCCUUCUGAGUAGCUGGAAUUAUAGGUGUGAGCCACUUAACCUGGCUUGAUUAUAAAUCUUAAAAAAGGAGGCGAUGACUGCAAGACCUGCACACAGACAGUUUAAAAGUUUGACCAUUUUGGCUGGAGCUUGGGUGGAGGUUCAAGGUCUAGGCAACCAGCCAUCUCCUGUGAAUCAAAGACUUAAUUGCAGGUGACCUCUGACCCUGGGGAUGUGGGCCCAGAGAGGGCCUUUGGCAGCUGUGGAUAGCCCAGCAAUUUGGAGGGUGCACACUGGAAGCUGGAGGAGCCCCCACAUCCAGCCUUGCCUAGCUCCCUGAAUCCCUUCACAAAGCCCAGAGCUCCGGGCAGGAUAAUGGGGGAUCAGCCUCCAGCUAGGAGGUGCAGAGCAUGGGUGCAGGAGACAGUCCCCCACCCCCAUCAACCGCCCGAGCACCUGCUG